rnacentral:misc_RNA from 1 species
GAUGAAGAACGUAGCGAAAUGCGAUAAGUAAUGUGAAUUGCAGAAUUCAGUGAAUCAUCGAAUCUUUGAACGCACAUUGCGCCCGCCAGCAUUCUGGCGGGCAUGCCUGUUCGAGCGUCAUUUCAACCCUCGAGCCCCCCCGGGGGCCUCGGUGUUGGGGGACGGCACACCAGCCGCCCCCGAAAUGUAGUGGCGACCCCGCCGCAGCCUCCCCUGCGUAGUAGCACACACCUCGCACCGGAGCGCGGAGGCGGUCACGCCGUAAAACGCCCAACUUUCUUAGAGUUGACCUCGGAUCAGGUAGGAAUACCCGCUGAACUUAAGCAUAUCAAUAAGCGGAGGA